rnacentral:rRNA from 1 species
CGGGGCAUUGGAGACAGGUGGUGCAUGGUUGUCGUCAGCUCGUGUCGUGAGAUGUUGGGUUAAGUCCCGCAACGAGCGCAACCCCUAUUUCCAGUAGCCAGCAAGAAAGAUGGGAACUCUGGAGAGACUGCCCGGGAUAACUGGGAGGAAGGCGGGGAUGACGUCAAAUCAUCAUGCCCCUUAUGAUCAGGGCUACACACGUGCUACAAUGGCGUAAACAAAGGGAAGCGAAGUGGUGACACGAAGCAAAUCCGAAAAACAACGUCUCAGUUCGGAUUGUAGUCUGCAACUCGACUACAUGAAGCUGGAAUCGCUAGUAAUCGCGAAUCAGAAUGUCGCGGUGAAUACGUUCCCGGGUCUUGUACACACCGCCCGUCACACCAUGGGAGUCGGAAAUGCCCGAAGUCAGUGACCCAACCGAGAGGAGGGAGCUGCCGAAGGUGGAGCCGGUAACUGGGGUGAAGUCGUAACAAGGUAGCCGUAUCGGAAGGUGCGGCUGGAUCACCUCCUU